AAUUAAGUUUGUGUUGCUCUUAAACUAAUAUUUAUCCAAGUUGCACGCAAGGGAAGUUACUGGUUAAAUGCCAAUUAGAUAAUUUUCACUCUGUGCCAAUAAAAGGGGAGCAGAUAAACAAAAGCGUGGCGUUACGUCAUGUAUGGGAGUGAGGGAAAGAGAAGCACACCGGAUCACAGAAAGAAAGAAAAAAGGUGUUGACUGUAUAAGAGGCUGGCCAGAAACGGCAGCACACCCCUCCCUGGCAAACACAGGCAAACGCAGGACAGACUCCAUCCUGGAUUCAUCUGCACCAUUCACGAGACGGCACUUUGGAGCUGCGACGGAGCCGUGUGUCGGGUCCGGUCCACGGACUAUUGCCAUUCGAGCUCGGGACUGGACGUGACAUUGCUCCACUGCUAUUUCUCUGGUUAACGGGUCCAACAUCAGGAUGGAAAUCCAACCGCUGCUCGCCCUUCUCGCUAUUUUUGAUUCACCGAGCACCGGGCGGACCGGUGCGUUUGGCGAGCAGAUGUGUGCUGCUGUCGGCACUGGGCGCUCAGACCCCCUCCGUCCCACGCCGGCCAAUGUACCCAGACCCACUGCGUCUACACUGUAAGAAGUGUCAAUCUGACCAAGUCAUUCUAGCCUUGCACCUAUAAAUGUUAAAAGUUAUAGCUGACAACGUGUUAAAUCUCCAACAACGACCGAUGGCCGUUUCUUAAUACCUUUGGUGGUGACCUUUUCGAAAAAGGGCAAUUUUUAUUAUUAUUAUUGUGCAAUGCGUGUAAUGCGUAAUAGCCAGAAUUGGCAGAAUUUUGUAGUGGAAUAAAUAUUGUACAAUUCUGAAUAAAGUGUGUUAAUAUUUUUUUGCAGUGCAUAAUCUCUAGGUCUCAGGUAACCUGUUACUGCGGAAGCAAUGUCGUUGUUCAACCCUUUUGAAGCCUAAAAUAACGCGCGACUAUAACGAUUAAGUCUGUAAACAGCUGCCAACUUGUACAUUCGGGUGCAAUUGGUCACCCCAUGUGUGUGGGAGCAUUUAAUACAACAACGCCUCUAUUUGAAAUGAAAUAAAUAGACGCUGUAAUUUCUUAGUGAUAGUUUGCACAAUUAUCUAUAAAUGUGCCGCACAACUUUACUGGAAAAGCGUGUGCAAAAAGUUUUUAACACCUCUCCCUCUCUUCCUCUCUCCCUCUUUUUCCCUCCCUCUCCCCCCUUUCUUUUAUUGUUUUUAUUGUGUGGUCUCAUUAGGGGGACUUCCUGGCAGGGCUGGGAGCUUGUAUCGGAGCUGUCCAAUCAGUGUAUUUACACGGGUUGUUAGCGACAGUUAAUGAGGGCUCCUCCCCGGGCCGGUAGAGAAAGGCGCCUCGACAUUAAGAUUUACCUUGUGUCAACUCGUUACUUCUAAUGAACCUCCAUGCAAAAGCCUCCUCGUACUCAAUGGAGCCGUGCGCCCGGAUCUUGUGUGUGAGACCCUGGAAGAGUGGAGCUGCAUGGACGGCCUCCCUCUCCCCCCUUUUCAUCCGCUCACUUGGGGAGAGUCGCUUUUUUUUCUUCUUCCCUCUGCAUGUCAGGGCUGUGAUGCAUGCACACAUGCCUGUUGGUGCGCGGUCGCGCCCGCGCGCGCGCGCGUGUGUCCAGUGCAGUGUGGGUGGUGCAUUGCAACCAUGCUCUCAAUAAGGACGCGACGGUGGCAGACACCCCAACUCGUUCUCCCAACUUCCCACGUGCUGACGCCGUGGCCUCGUGUCCUCAACAAUGGAACAAUGUGGUGAUAGUGUGCUGUAAAUUAACACGCCGCCUUAAGACAAUGAAGUCAAAUGUGUUGAAACUCACCCCGGGUUUUUAAAGAUUAUUGUCCGGUCGUCGCCGCGUGAGAGGGGACAGAGGGACAGCAUCAACAAGCCCGAUGUGUCUUCCAUUGUUGGCUGAAUGACGCUUGACAUGCCCGCUUGCUGCCUCUGCAGAGGCAAGUUCGUUUCUAAUCACUCUCCAUCCCCCAUCAGAGCGCCGAGCUCGGCCCAGGCUCUGGCCCCUCGUCCCCCCCCUCGCCCCCUCGCCUGGCCCCCAGUGUGGCUUGGUGAGCCGCAUCAGCAACACAUCACCGCCCCUCAAUUCAGGUACAAACUGGAGGAGUUUGGCGGAUCCCUGAAGUGGACUCCCCUCUUGCUCCUCUAACCCACAGAGACACCACUUAAAAAUCAAUUAGGCCGGUUUGGUCUCCCCCUCCCUGCCAGUCACAAUUUCCAAAAUAGGUGUGUCCCACAAACAUUUUGGAGGGACUUAAAAGUAAAAGCUAUGGUCCUUCUGAAUUCUCUCUGCCUUCAUUGGCUCAUUUGUCAUUAGUCUACACAAAGUAAAAGCGCCCCAUGUGCCCGUAUCAAAGGCCUUCAUGUUCUCGCCGCGUCGCCUCUUUCACCCUCCGUCCCCGGCGUUAAAGAGCUGCAGCGCUGGAGGAGGCGGUGUGUUCACUCUUCCAGGUAGACGAGCUGAUUUGGAGACAGAAGCAGAGACGGAGAAAUAAAUAAUAGGCGCAUAUCAGAUGCGUUGCCCCGAGCUUUACAUAUGAUGCUCACCUCCCAGUGACUUUGUUGAAGAGCAAAAAGAAGACCUCCACUUUCUCUCGAGUCGACAUGCAACCCUGAGCGAAUCCCUGUGCGUCGCCCAUCUGCACGCCUAUAAAAGUGCCCUGUGGACUCAGGGGAGGUAACACGAUGGCCACAGUUACAUCAGCGCAAAUGUUGAGAGAAUUUCUCCCCGAGUUUGGACUUGGCUGAUUAAGCGGCACAUCUCUUAUGGAUAGGAGCUAUAAACAGGCCGUCAUUACUCUCAACGCUUGCUGUGGUUGGACACACCGGCAACUUACACAGAGUCGAGGCCACGACCUCAGACAUUACAGACGUGAAACAGCCUCUUAUUAGCAUUGAAUGACGUGAAUGAAAACCGCUGUGAUUGACAGAGAAAUCAGAAAGAGUAAAGUAACUUUGUAUAUUUGCAAUUAAGAUACAUGUACUUCUACUCAGCACCAUUUCUGAAAGGACACUUUCAUCCUUGUCAUGGAGUCGUAUCAAGGCUGUCUUUACUUAACUUCUUCCAGUAAAGACAUUUACAUAUAAUAAAGACAAAAAUGACAAACUGUCUAUAAAUAGGCUGCUCAUUUUUCAUCAGUAAUGGAAGUGGAGUAACUAACCCUAAGCCUAUAGCUGCAGGCAGCUUUAGGGUGGUGUUUCCAUGUUUUGUUACAAAAGAGGGAAACGUACUUUUUAACUUCACCAUUAUCUUAAAUAUUUUUAUAGUUCAGAUCUAACUGAAGAAUGUAUAACAAUUUAAAUAUGUAUUUAUAGAAUAGUUGAAAUAGUCCCACUUCUAAAACAUCAAUUACUGUUCUACAUUACACAUAAACGUCAGGUUUAGCUUUAUUAUUACUACUUUUCCCUAAUGUUAAAUGUCUAAGUACGACCACUACACUUGAUAUUUCAGUAUAUCGUGAAUCUAAAUCGUUCACACCUUGUGGUUUAACUCCUCUCACAACAAUUUCUCCCUAUGCAGGUAAACUGUAUUUAGUAAUCCACUCAUGUGAGUGAUCCAUAGAUCCCUAUCGAGGGCCCCUCUGUCUCUCCCUCUUUUCUGUGUCCGUGUGAAGGUCACAGUCACCGAAUCACCCACGAUCCUGUCAUUGUCUGCGCACGUUUUGUCGCGGUGUUUGCGUGGCACGCAACGAACAGAACCGACGUCACCCCCCUCCCCCCACCCCCCCUCCUCCACCUCCUCCACCCUCCUUGUCAUUGACUGCAGCUUUUGACGUUACUCGACUCGAUUGCCCGUUUACCCCCGAGUCAAGUUCGAGAUGGGCAAGAAGUGUAAAAGAGGUGUGCCACGUCACAUCCGCUCAGCGCGCAUGGGCCUGUCGGUGCGCGCGGCUGGGAUCAUUGUUCGGGAGAACAAUUCCCGCACGGAACCGGCAGGAAGACAGCGGGGGGAAAAAAAGUGCAAAAGUAGUUUGCACACUAUUUUCACUGCAGCGUGUGUAGACUGCUUUUUUUUGCUGUCUUAGGCGUGGUCUAGUGCGGUUUUACAGUUAUAUAUUCAAUAUUAAAAUGAUUGUUUUACCUUUCAUUAAAUCUGUUCGUUUGACUGUAACAUU